UUGCACCAUUUAUAUAUGUGAGUACUAAUGUUAUUUUAUAAUUGAUCGAUUAGUGUCCAAGACAAGAAGGAGGGUUCGAAUGUGGCUACUUUGUUAUGAGAUUCAUUAAAGAGAUAAUUUUUUAUCCUACAAUUAUUGCUUCAAAGUUUUGUGAUAAAAAAAACAUAUUCUCAAGUAGAAUUAUAUUUCCAUUUAUUCAUCAGAAGAAGCGCCCUUCGAUGAAAUUAGAGGAGAAUGGGCUACUUUUGUGCUACAACUAAUCAUGAAUCAUGUUAAUGCAUCAUGAUCACCAUGCAUGGUAUACACUCUUGGGAUGGUGAAAUGGAGAAUAAAAAGAAAGAAGAAGGUAACAAGAUUUUGGGUUUUUAAAUGCAACUCUUAUGUUAUACGUUGUAGGACAUAAACGUUACUUUAAUUGCAAUUGAGAAAUUUAGAUUUUUAGAUGGGACUUUUAUGUCAUUUUAUGGUUAGCCGGUUUUAUGCU